UAGAGUUUGAUCCUGGCUCAGAUUGAACGCUGGCGGCAUGCCUUACACAUGCAAGUCGGACGGCAGCGCGGGCUUCGGCCUGGCGGCGAGUGGCGAACGGGUGAGUAAUACAUCGGAACGUGUCCUGGAGUGGGGGAUAGCCCGGCGAAAGCCGGAUUAAUACCGCAUACGCUCUGCGGAGGAAAGCGGGGGACCUUCGGGCCUCGCGCUCAAGGGGCGGCCGAUGGCAGAUUAGCUAGUUGGUGGGGUAAAGGCCUACCAAGGCGACGAUCUGUAGCUGGUCUGAGAGGACGACCAGCCACACUGGGACUGAGACACGGCCCAGACUCCUACGGGAGGCAGCAGUGGGGAAUUUUGGACAAUGGGGGCAACCCUGAUCCAGCAAUGCCGCGUGUGUGAAGAAGGCCUUCGGGUUGUAAAGCACUUUUGUCCGGAAAGAAAGCGUCCUGGCUAAUACCUGGGGCGGAUGACGGUACCGGAAGAAUAAGCACCGGCUAACUACGUGCCAGCAGCCGCGGUAAUACGUGGGGUGCGAGCGUUAAUCGGAAUUACUGGGCGUAAAGCGUGCGCAGGCGGUUCGCUAAGACCGAUGUGAAAUCCCCGGGCUUAACCUGGGGACUGCAUUGGUGACUGGCGGGCUAGAGUAUGGCAGAGGGAGGUAGAAUUCCACGUGUAGCAGUGAAAUGCGUAGAGAUGUGGAGGAAUACCGAUGGCGAAGGCAGCCUCCUGGGCCAAUACUGA
rnacentral:rRNA from 1 species